GUGUUCACCUUCAGCCAGAAGUUAUCUGCUAACUUCCGGCUUCUGCUGCGUGUCAUUCAAGGUGUAUCCUUCUUGUUGGCGCUUGCUGGUUUAGCAGCUGCAGUUAAAUUUACGGAUUUGUCAAUUGCAGACGUUUUUGCUUCAAUUUUAGCUUUUAUAUACCCACUGGCUGGGGAAUUCUUUCUAUUGCUAUAGCUUGGAAAUCCUUGAUGGAAAAGAUUCGCUUGUGCAAGUCCAUUCGUUCCAUUGCCCUUCUAUACCACGCUGGGAUGGGGAUGCUCAUAUUCAUACCCAUUGCACUAUCCUCCUGGUUCCCAUUUGUAUCGACAUUCCAAACGCGGCUCAUGUUCAACCAGGCUUUCGCCCGAGGGUUGGAGAUCUCUCUCGUCCUUGCUGGAAACAACCCCAAUACCGGAAUAUAGUAACCGAGUUUCUUCGUUCCCUUUAUGCAUCAGUGCAAGUAGCUUAGUGUUUCCUGGUGAACUUAGGGAUAGCGUGUGAUCUAGCUAACCAAUCAUGUAUCCGUAACUUCCAUUUUUGAGAUGAUGUAUAUAGUUAUGUAUAUCAUUGAUCGUGUAUGGGGAGCGUAUAUCGAUUCUAUAUCCAGUUUUUUGCAGCCGAUCGAUUAAUGAUUUUCGAGAUUUUGUGGCCUGAA